UGAUUUAUCAUGAAUUUGUAAAUGUGAAGAGAAAUGAGUAAAUUAGGUGUGCUUUACCUAAUAAUAAUAAUGAUAAUUGGAACAAUUAUCUAUUCUGUUAUUGCUGAAUUUGAUAGCUUUAUUAGUGACGGUGAAGAACCGUGGUAUCCAUCUAUUAAAGAUCGCUCAUCUCUAGAGCUAGAUGUCUGUUACAAAAAAUGUGACCAAAUCUAUGACAAAUUCUCGUCAUUAAAAUCAAACAAUAGAUGGAAAAGAUGCAGACGAAUGUGCAGAGAGUUAGAGGAAAAACUUAGGGAGAGUAUUUGGGAGGAGAAACAUAUUAAAAAUAAGAGGAAGGAAGCCAUAAGGGGACGAGGAUAAGCUGAUGUUAGAGUUGGCAAACGGACAUGUCCAUCCAUCCUGUUCCACCAAAGUCCGCCGCUGGGUUUAUGGAGUAUCUCAUUUUGUUCACUUGGCGUGUUGGCUUAAUUCUUAUUAAUGGUUUAGUGUUUUAAGUCUUAUGAAACGUAGUAUACUCAGCUUUGUAUGGAUUUUAAGAAUUUAAUGUAAUUUUGUUUCUCUCCCAUUUAGAUUCAAGCGUCUUCAUAAAUAUUGGGCAAAAAAUUGCAUCAUGUAUUUCAGUUAAUACAUUUGACUUU